UACAGAGGCCCCAAGCAUUAUCCGGAAUCACUGGGCGUAAAGGGUGUCAAGGCGGUCAUGUUAGUCGUUCGUAAAAUCCGGGGGCUCAACCUCCGGCCCGCGAGCGAAACGGCAUGACUUGAGGUUGGGAGAGGUAUGUGGAACUCACGGUGUAGGGGUGAAAUCCGUUGAUAUCGUGGGGAACACCAAAGGCGAAGGCAGCAUACUGGCCCAAAUCUGACGCUCACACACGAAAGCCAGGGUAGCGAAUGGG
rnacentral:rRNA from 1 species